rnacentral:lncRNA from 1 species
AUGCUUUCCCAGCCACAGAAAGGCCAACAUUCGUCAUGCAGGACUGGGCUUCUGGAACAUCUGUCAGAAAGCAGGUUUUGCUUCCUAGGUUUCAGACCCGGCCACAGCUACGCUAGAUAUGCUAAAGCUAGGUCCCCUGGCCUUUCGGGAAACAAUGUGUUUCUAUUCAGAGUCAUCGGCGAACAUGCAAGGCUAUCAAUCAGCAGAUCUGGCGCUCAGAAGUGACUCGCUCAUCAAAGGGCCUCAUCAGAAGCGAAGACGUUUCUCAGAGGAAAACUAGAAAGGGCUGCGCUGGGUGACUGGAGGUGAAGCUGCUGCGUUUUCCUCCAGCAUGCUGGGUGAAAAGACACUAUGUGAUGUGUUUCAGGCACGAUAUAUACAGACAGUGAUAUUUGUAAGGCUAUCCAUUCUCAAAGGCUUUCCAAAGCAGUGUCUGUGACAUAAUUUUGUCAAUAACAAAUAAUUUUCAAUACAGAAAUUCUGCUUACAUGUCUGCAAAAACCAACACAAUCUCACGGCAAUUCGUAACUUUUUCAUUUAGUGGCUAAUUCGUAUGAAUUCGUACGAUCUAAUUCGUACAAUUUAGUACGAUUUGCUUAUCCCCCAAUGACGGUUGGGGUUAGGGGUGGGGUCAGGUGCCACGCCUCCUUUUAAAAAUCGUACCAUUUCGUACGACUGAACUCGUACGAAUUCGUACGAAUUAGCCACUAAACUGGCAAAACGUAAAAUACUUACGUUUUCUCGUGAGAUCAGGCUGGCAAAAACCUGCUUAUGUAUACAUUUUCCCAGUAGUUUACAGGGUUUCUCUGAAAACUGAACUGACACAGUUUUAAUGUACUACAACACACUGCUUUGACACAAUCUACACUGUGAAAGCGCUAUAUAAAUAAUAUUAAUUGAAUAUAAUUUGCAGGUUAAAUUAAUACAUGAGACAGUAAAAACAGCAACAACUGUUUCCUACCUUUUUUACACAAUCUAUUAUAUGGGUUGAUCAAUGGUCAUCUAGAUGUGUUGGCUUUAGAACUCCUUGCUUGAAUGUUUUGCUUUGAAACUGCAGUAAAACAUGCCACAAGCAAUGUGCAAGAUUUCCAAUAGAUAAAAUAUUUUUUUCAUUUAUAUAGCCUUUAUGGUUGCGUCAUCUACAAUACACAGUGAAACAUAGAGCAUGUAUUUCUAACUUUGCA